rnacentral:rRNA from 1 species
AGAGCGAACGCUGGCGGCAGGCCUAACACAUGCAAGUCGAACGGACUCUUCGGGGUUAGUGGCGGACGGGUGAGUAACACGUGGGAACGUGCCUUUAGGUUCGGAAUAGCUCCUGGAAACGGGUGGUAAUGCCGAAUGUGCCCUUCGGGGGAAAGAUUUAUCGCCUUUAGAGCGGCCCGCGUCUGAUUAGCUAGUUGGUGAGGUAAAGGCUCACCAAGGCUACGAUCAGUAGCUGGUCUGAGAGGAUGACCAGCCACAUUGGGACUGAGACACGGCCCAAACUCCUACGGGAGGCAGCAGUGGGGAAUCUUGCGCAAUGGGCGAAAGCCUGACGCAGCCAUGCCGCGUGAAUGAUGAAGGUCUUAGGAUUGUAAAAUUCUUUCAGUAGGGACGAUAAUGACGGUACUACAGAAGAAGCCCGGCUAACUUCGUGCCAGCAGCCGC